rnacentral:rRNA from 1 species
AUUGAACGCUGGCGGCAUGCUUUACACAUGCAAGUCGAACGGUAACAGGCCUUCGGGUGCUGACGAGUGGCGAACGGGUGCGUAAUGCAUCGGAACGUGCCCAGAGGUGGGGGAUAACGCAGCGAAAGCUGUGCUAAUACCGCAUGUGAUCUGAGGAUGAAAGCGGGGGACCAGGCAGCAAUGUUUGGCCUCGCGCCUUUGGAGCGGCCGAUGUCAGAUUAGGUAGUUGGUGGGGUAAAGGCCUACCAAGCCGACGAUCUGUAGCUGGUCUGAGAGGACGACCAGCCACACUGGGACUGAGACACGGCCCAGACUCCUACGGGAGGCAGCAGUGGGGAAUUUGGACAAUGGGCGCAAGCCUGAUCCAGCAAUGCCGCGUGCGGGAAGAAGGCCUUCGGGUUGUAAACCGCUUUUGUACGGAACGAAAAGGCUCUGGCUAAUACCUGGGGCUGAUGACGGUACCGUAAGAAUAAGCACCGGCUAACUACGUG